UGAUCUAUAACACGAAUUCAAAGAGGAUCGAUCUGCUCACACAUGCCCAGGAUCGAAGAGAGAAACUGUAAAAUGAGAGAGCAAGAACAGAAUCUGCAACUCGAGAGUAUUGCAUUCAUGUCGUCUUUGGUUUUUUGGCUUUCUAACCAACAAAGCUAUAUACAAUUACAACCUCAAACAUCCCCAAAAAAUAA